rnacentral:rRNA from 1 species
UACGAAGGGGGCUAGCGUUGCUCGGAAUUACUGGGCGUAAAGGGCGCGUAGGCGGAUGUUUAAGUCGGGGGUGAAAGCCCAGGGCUCAACCCUGGAAUUGCCUUCGGAUACUGGACAUCUUGAGUGCGGAGAGGUGAGUGGAACUCCGAGUGUAGAGGUGAAAUUCGUAGAUAUUCGGAAGAACACCAGUGGCGAAGGCGACUCACUGGCCCGUUACUGACGCUGAUGCGCGAAGCGUGGGAGCAAACAGG